rnacentral:rRNA from 1 species
GACGAACGCUGGUGGCGUGCCUAAUACAUGCAAGUCGAGCGGACCAAUAGAAGCUUGCUUCUGUUGGUUAGCGGCGGACGGGUGAGUAACACGUGGGCAACCUGCCUGUAAGACUGGGAUAACUUCGGGAAACCGGAGCUAAUACCGGAUAAUUCAUCCCCUCGCAUGAGGGGAUGCUGAAAGUCGGUUUACGCUGACACUUACAGAUGGGCCCGCGGCGCAUUAGCUAGUUGGUGAGGUAAUGGCUCACCAAGGCGACGAUGCGUAGCCGACCUGAGAGGGUAGUCGGCCAUACUGGGACUGAGACACGGCCCAGACUCCUACGGGAGGCAGCAGUAGGGAAUCUUCCACAAUGGACGAAAGUCUGAUGGAGCAACGCCGCGUGAGCGAUGAAGGCCUUCGGGUCGUAAAGCUCUGUUGUUAGGGAAGAACAGGUAUCGGAGUAACUGCCGGUACCUUGACGGUACCUAACCAGAAAGCCACGGCUAACUACGUGCCAGCCGCCGCCGUAA